ACAGGAGGCCCAGACUGAUAAAAGAUGCAUUUCCAGGAAUGAAUGGGAAAGUCGAUGCUGCUUUUCAACACAAAAGCACCCAGUUUGGCAAUGCUGAGCAGAUGGGUCCUGGACCUGGCAACCUGGGUGAUGUAUGGAUGAUCACUCUCCAGGCAAGAGCUGUCUCUGAACAACAGUUGGGGACUUGGAAAGAAGAGGGUGACAAUGAGAGAACGGCUGUGUGAUGAGAACAGCAGAUGACUGAAACCUCUCUUUCCAUCAUUCAAGGGAGAUGUGCUGAAGGACACGCAGUGGGAAGCCAAUGCAGAUGGUGAAAUGGGACAUGACUUUGUAGCCCAACAUGAUGGAAAUUCCCAAGGCAGAGUGAAGCCACUGCUUCUGCUUUCUCUUCCUGAUGCUGUUUAAGAUUUUCAUUCGAUGACUGUAAGCAUAUAAGCAGCUCCCACAGCUAAUGCUGGAAUCCAGGACUCCCUAAUUCUGCCAUUGGCUAUCCUAAAAAUUAAUUUAUUUGAAGUUUCCAGGAAAACAAACAGAUGUCCCCUCCUGCCCUCUGCCUGACUCAGUAUCCUCCUUGUCCCAUUACUAUUUGGCAAAAGACCCUUUCCAGAAGUGUGCAUAGCAGCAGAAACUUCCUGUACAAUCUGCAGCUUAUGAUUUCCUAAUGUUCCCAUCUCAGACCCUUCUGAUUAACCUGCAUCUCUUUGCUUGUAUGUGUUUAAACAUCUUAUGUCUUAAAUAAAAAUAAUAAAAAAAAAAAUAAAAUUAAAAUUAAAAAAGGAAAAAAAAAAGAUAGAUAAAUAUCUAAGGAGUUCUUAGGGAAGACUUAAAAAAAAAAAAAAGAUGAAAAAAAAGAAAAAAAAUGAGGCACUGAAUAAGGACCUAUACAAGCAAGCCUACAGAAACAUAUGAGGAAGAAAUAUUUACAGGGAGGAAAAAAAAAUCUAGUUUAGAAACUGAAUUAGAGAAGUUAAGCAGUAUUUCACUAAUCCCAGUAUCAUGUGAGAUGUUGCAGACUUUGGAGAUGUAUCCAACACGACACUUUUUGUUCAUGUCUGAAAAUCAUGACGAAUUAAGAAUAAUCAACAGCAAAGUUUCCUUGGACAGUGAGCCAUGAAGCUGAAUCUAUUUACUGGUGUAAAAGCUGUACCCACUGAUCAUCUUCCUAGCAAUUUCAAAGACAAGCACAGGAUUAUUGCUUUGAAAUGUCCUGUAUUGUCUUUAUUCAAUCACUACAAAUAAGUAAUAUGACUCACCCUGGAAGAUAUAAGGAAAUCUGCUUUUCCCAGAAAUAG
rnacentral:lncRNA from 1 species